UUAAGAAUCUUGCGCAAUGGGGGAAACCCUGACGCAGCGACGCCGCGUGGACGAUGAAGGCCUUCGGGUUGUAAAGUCCGAUAAGCGGGGAAGAAUAAGCAACGGGUAAUAUUCGUUGUGAUGACGGUACCUGCCUAAAGCCCCGGCUAACUACGUGCCAGCAGCCGCGGUAAUACGUAUGGGGCUAGCGUUGGUCGGAAUUAUUGGGCGUAAAGGGCGGCUAGGCGGGGGAUUAAGUUGGGUGUGAAAUCCCUGGGCUCAACCCAGGAACUGCAUCCAAAACUGUUUCUCUUGAGUUCGGGAGAGGAGAGCGGAAUUCCCGGUGUAGCGGUGAAAUGCGUAGAUAUCGGGAAGAACACCAGUGGCGAAGGCGGCUCUCUGGCCUAGAACUGACGCUGAAGCGCGAAAGCGUGGGGAGCGAACG
rnacentral:rRNA from 1 species